UACGUAGGGUGCAAGCGUUGUCCGGAAUUAUUGGGCGUAAAGAGCUCGUAGGCGGUCUGUCGCGUCUGCUGUGGAAACUCAGGGCUUAACCCUGAGCUUGCAGUGGGUACGGGCAGACUAGAGUGCGGUAGGGGAGACUGGAAUUCCUGGUGUAGCGGUGAAAUGCGCAGAUAUCAGGAGGAACACCGGUGGCGAAGGCGGGUCUCUGGGCCGUAACUGACGCUGAGGAGCGAAGGUCAGGGGAGCAAACGGG
rnacentral:rRNA from 1 species